CUCAGGGAAAAUUGACCUAUGUUUCCUGGAGUUCCCAUAGCAUAGAAAUCCAUGUCUACCUUUUCCUUGAAAGUUUGGAGGGACAGAGUUGUUGGAGGUGUCUUUAUGACGAAACAAAGAGAGAACUAAAGAGUAGCUACUAGCUGCUUGCCCUUCUAGAAUGUGCUGCAGAUAUUAUUAGUGUGUUGUCCUUGGGGAUAAGUGGAUACUUAGAAAGAUAAAUGAACUCCAGACACAUUGAAAGGGGUUUACUGAAGAAGAAUGCCUGCUAAGGUCAAUUUAAUUCUUGGACCCACUUUGGAUUUAUUUCUUGGACCCACUUUGGAAAAAUCACUAAAAAGGAUAAGAUCUAGAUAUGCAGACCAGAGCUAUAAUAAUGCGUGAUAUUAUGGAAGUAGCAGGAUAUUAAGAGGCAGACAAAGAUGUAUGUCAGGAGGUGAAUAAAUAAAGACAGUGAACCA
rnacentral:lncRNA from 13 species